ACAUUUUUGCAUAGAAUGGUAUGACCCAUCUGAUGAUGAACCCUGAAAAACCCUGUUUGAUAUGCAAGUUUCUUAACAGAACUUUAAAAAGGAGUGUAUAACCUACAGGUUAUAAUCCUAAUCAGGAUUGAAGUGUUGGUCAUUUAGGUGUGUUCAAUAACAGAAACACAGGUCACUGUUGAGGACCUGUGUGUCACUUUUCUGUAUUGGGCAUUGAGUGUGAAAUGCCUGUCUUUAUAGAGUACAACACCUAAAUUGGGGAAGAAUUUUCGGGUGGUUGGUUUCCAUGGAGUUUAGGUGAUCCCUGAGGCCAGUAUUUCCUCCAAUGUUCCUUUCCUGAUAUAGAGAAGGUGAAACGUGCUGCUUUUCAUGUAGAUACAAUAAUUUACUUCACUUUCAUGAAUUGACAAGUCAAUGAAGCUAUGAACAACAUUAUGUGGAGAUAUUGGCAAAGAAGACUAUUUAUUAAAGAAGAAAGGGCAGUUCUGUCUAUAUAAGGAAAGGAAGGUUAGUGCAGGGGGAAUUUAUUGUCCAUUUGUUGUAAGCCAGGUUUGUCCCACAAUGGGAAGUUGUUUUUAAAUGAAGAGAAGGUUGCUGUUUUGGGGGAGUUGAGGUACAGAUGUGUACAUAGGGACCCCCUUUGUUAAGAAAUACCCCAUGUCAAACAGUGUUGAAAUUUAUAGGUCUCUAUUCCAGGCUUUGACCAAGUCGUUCUUAACUCUUGGCAGUCUGAUAUUAAAGAGCUUAUCAUCAUUCUUGUCUGGUAUUACAGUUAAUGAAUUACAACAAGCUUUUUCAGUUGAACUCAUCUCUUUUAUAAAUAAACUUUGGUGCAUUUUUUUUCUGUGUUAGUGAGAUUGUAUUAUAAGUGAUUGACUUACAGUAAGAUGGAUUGUCUCUAGAAAAAGUUGUCUCUGUGUCUUGUGCUUUUAGAUUCAGGUCCCUUUCUCCCUAUAUGUCAGCUUGAUUAGUUAUUUAUUGCUUGUGGUUUGAGGUGUACAAAGCCAAUUGAUGCAAAUUUGCUGUGAAAAAAUGACAGGGCAUUGCUUUGACUGGUAGUUGAGUGUAUAAUUUUAAAAAUGGAAUGAAGUAAGUUUCCUUAAUUGUUAGUAAUGUUGAGUUACUUGUGUCGGUUACUGGGGAUGUGCUGAGUUGGAAAUUAAACCACGCAACAGUUGUAGUGGGUGUACUGGUGAAUUUUCAGUUUAAGAUUUUUCGCUGUCUUCAACAUGUGUAGGUACAGAGUAUGAUAAAUUGACGAAGAUAUGAAUGCUAAAUGAAUUAAAGUCAGUUUACAACACAGGUGCCCAGGAAAAGUGGUAGAGAUAGAAUUCAAUCCUUUUUUUCUAGAAAAUUUAUUUUGAAACAUAUGAAUCUGUCAUUAAAAAAAUAAAAUUGAAAAAGUCUUAAGUGAUGCAUUAAUGAUGAGGGCAAAGGUGCUGGACAGACAAGGAUUUCUAGAAUUCCUUCCAUGUAGAUUUGCAAAUGUUAAGUCUUUCAUUUUAAUGUGUUGUAAAGUGUAUGUACUAGAAAAUAAGUUUCGUCUCUUUUUCUGUAAAUGGAGUUUUUUGGGUAUGUGGCUUUUUUUUAUAGAGACUUAUUGUAGGCGUGCUGUAGCAUUUGUGUAAUAUUGUUAGGAAAAGUCAUAUUCAUAAAUUCAUACAGUGAAGUAAAUGGGAACUUUUGUAUGAUUGUAUAAACCAAUUAACAAAAAGCAAAGUUAUAGGGAUAGUUAUUUAAUAAACAAAUACAUUUAAACCGUUUUGGAGUAUAUUGGACUAAGAGAAAUAUUGUGUUCAUUAUAUGUAAGAUAUAUCGGAUAAAUAUUGUAAUAUGUAACAUUUUAAGUAUACGUGUAUGUUGAAUGUAAUCUAAAACCAUUCGUAGCUGAAAUUUCUUUCAAAUUGACUUUGUAUGAAUCAUAUACAAUGUUUUAAACAUGUAUUGUAUGUAGGUAUUCCAUAUAUUGAGAUCUCCUCAAUAUCUUUUGUUAUAGAAGAUAUAUAGAUGUAACAGGAGUUUUCAUUGCAAAACAAACGUACUUUGAUAUGUCAAACCACUAAUUAGAUGUUCGUGCAAUAAUUGACAUUUCUCAGGAUGGAGGAUGGCUCCAGAUGAUAAAAAUAAAAUAAUUUUGAAAAAAAACUGCUUUGGUGCAUUGAUAAUGCUCAGAAUUUGGGCUUAAAUUAUCAUUAAAUGGCACGUGGAAGCUUUGUAUGUUUUAUUACAGUUGCACACUCCGCGGAGAUUUGUACAUGUGGUGUGCGCAUGCGUAUGAAUGUGUUUGAGUGGAACUGUGAAUAGGUUUAAUGUACAUGUAUGUCAUUUCUUCCAUUACAAUUAGAACAAUUAUUGCUGUACUUAAUUAUUUGAUGGUCGCUUUUGUUUGGCUAUAACAUCAAUAAAUUUAAUGAAAAAAAAUAUGUUGUCCGUUUUUUGAGAUUAAGAAUUAUAACACACAUUGCUUACUGUCUAGAAGAUUUGUCCAUGGGACAUAUAUUGAUUUAAAAUUGUUUACGUUCUGGCCAUGAACUGCUAUUAUUUUGGUUUCCUGGUUUCUUUAUUUCUGCUUGCCAAUAGUCGUGAUAUUGAACAUGAUGUAAAUUAUUUGCUGAUAAUAAAUUAUUAUUAUGCU
rnacentral:misc_RNA from 1 species